AACGAACGCUGGCGGCAUGCCUAACACAUGCAAGUCGAACGAAAACUUCGGGUCUAGUGGCGCACGGGGGCGUAACGCGUGGGAACCUGCCCUUAGGUUCGGAAUAACUCACCGAAAGGGGUGCUAAUACCGGAGAAUCUCAUCGGACCAAAGAGUUAUCGCCUUUGGCUGGGGCCGCGUUAGAUUAGCGGGUUGGUAGGGUAAAAGCCUGCCAAGGCGAGGAUCCAUAGCUGGUCGGGGAGGAGGCUCAGUAACACUGGGAAUGAGACACGGACCAGACCGGUAGGGGAGGGAGCAGUGGGGAAUAUUGGACACGGGGCCAAAGUCUGACCCAGCCACGUGGGGGGAGUGAUGAAGGCCUUAGGGUUGUAAAGCUCUCUGAGACGGGAUGAUAAUGACAGUACCGGGAGAAUAAGCGCCGGCUAACUACGUG
rnacentral:rRNA from 1 species